CCCUUAGAUGUUCUGGGUCGCACGCGCGCUACACUGACGAAGUCAGCGAGCAUGUCCUACGCCGACAGGUGCGGGGAAUCUUGUCAAACUUCGUCGUGAUGGGGAUUGAUUAUUGAAAUUCUUGAUCAUCAACGAGGAAUUCCUAGUAAGCGCAAGUCAGCAGCUUGCGUUGAUUACGUCCCUGCCCUUUGUACACACCGCCCGUCGCUACUACCGAUUGAAUGGUUUAGUGAGAUCUUCGGAUUGGCGCCACUGCGGCUCAGCAAUGGGCUCGGUGGAUGCCGAAAAGUUGAUCAAACUUGAUCAUUUAGAGGAAGUAAAAGUCGUAACA
rnacentral:rRNA from 1 species